CUCCAUCCCUGCCGAGUGAACGAGAUCUUUGGUUUUGCCUUUGCUGACUGCUGAUCUGAUCGUCUCAAGUCUGGUAAGUAAAGGUUUUUCUGAGGUGCAGUGCUGGGAAAUGUUUCUCAUGAUAGGAGAUUCAGUGUAGUGGUGUGAGUGAGCACAGCUAUUGGUGAUCAUCAAAAGUCAUCAAAUCCUAGUAAAGUCUGUGUAAACAUUUCCAGACCUACAGAGGUCCGUAGGUUAUUGUAGCAGCACAU